UUAAAUGGUUGCAGUAUAACUAACUGUACAAAGGUAGCAUAAUCAAUUGGUUUUUAAAUGAAAUCUGGAAUGAAAGGAUUAAUGAAAUAUAUACUGUCUCAUAUUUAUUUUAUAAAUUUAAAAUUUUAAUAAAAAUGUUAAAAUUUUUUUAUGGGACGAUAAGACCCUAUAGAAUUUUAUAUUAAAUUAAUUUUAUAAUUAAAUAUAAAAUUUAAUUUAAUAUUUAAUUGGGAGAAUUAUUAAAUUUAAUAAAUUUUAAUUAAUAUAAAGUUUAAUUAAAGAAAAUUUAUUGAUUUUUUAUUAAAAAUUAAUAGAUUAAAUUACCUUAGGGAUAACAGCGUAAUAUUUUUUUAUAGAUCUUAUAGAAAAAAAUGAUUGCGACCUCGAUGUUGAAUUAAGAUAAAUUUUA
rnacentral:rRNA from 1 species